CUGUGAACAACUCCCACUAGAAAUCUUGUACGUUUUAACACAUAGGACACUUUUUCAACACUCUUUCAAGUGAUGUCUUUAAAUGCACUGGAUAUAAAUUCAGGACAAGCAAGUCUCACCCUUUCUCCUCCCUCCUUCCUGACCUGCAAAUAAGUCGCCUCUUUGGGGGUGGCCUGUGCUGAGCUCGUUGGUGAGAUCUGCCUGGGAAGGAGCUUGCUGAAAGCCUUCACUGCAUGGGAGCGCAGUGCUGGAUGUCUGCUUUGGGAAAGCUGUCCUAGAAACCCGCUGGGCAUUCUUUUGUUAUAGAUGAACACUGUCCAUGCUAGAUUUUUCUCCUAUUGCUAGCUAUUUUUGGUGGUGGUGGAACUUCAUUACUGAUGGAGAGCUACUGGUGUUUUAAUCAGGGGCAUCUCAUUCUAAUCUCACUGCUGGUGAAAAGGGAUAAAAAGGAGACAUUUGAUCCAUCCUUCUAGCAAAGCAGAAUUCAAUACAGAGCCAGAGAGAUUGACAGACUGUGCCACACUAGCUCAGCUUUCAUUUAAAAAUAUGGACUUUUAGAGACAAAGCUACCUUAAGUAAUGCUAACAAAGUAAUUCAGAGAUGUCCACUUCAAUCUGCAGACAGAAGCACUGUUCUAAAAUCAGCAAGAAUCACAUCUGUUCAUCUCCCAUUUAUUGAACUUCAAGGGGAAACAACAGAAAUUAAGUGACCUAUACUGACGUGGCCUAGAAUGGACAAAUACUAUCACAUUGAUUUGCUUUGGAUGGACAAGCUGCAUCUGCCAACAUUGAGUUAUUGGGUCAACAACAGUUUUAACAUACUAUAGUUGUAGACAAGACAGUGCUUGCAGACGCAAUGAACUUUCAGUUUAAAUACAGAACACUUUCCAUAACUUGCAUGUAUGGCUUAAUAUUUUAAAUGUAAUUGGUUUAAGGCAGAGGCGUCAUAAAAGGCACCUGCAGAUUUUUCAGAGGAUAAGAAGCCCGUGGGGUUUGUACUGCAAUAGGGGCCUUUGGUGAGCCAAGCAGAUGAUUACCCUUGCUCUUCGUAGCCUAUUAUAGCAGUUACAAGUCUUCCCCAGACCUUCAUUAAUACUGUCUAUGUGCCUUCACAUCUUGUAACAUGUACCACAGCUAUCUUUUCAAGGCAGGAGCAAAACUUUAGUCUCCUAUGUAUAAAAUUUAUUUAAAUUUAAAGUAAUAUAAGCUUUAUCUCCAUAUAUUAUCCCAGUAUCUUGAAUUUCACACGUGUCAUUGAAACUACUGUUUUCACUGAAGAAAAUUCUGCCCCCAAAACAUUAAUCUGAGCAGAGACUGUAGGUUAGGCAACACCCCAGGGAAUCCCAGUGCAGCUGGAGUGGCUAAAACAUUGCUUUCUGUUGGAAAAGACUGAAGGACGGGCUUGCAAAGUCUGUGGAUUUCUGUGGAAAUCUUUUUUAAUGUGUAUCAACUGCCCUCCAGGACCUGAAAAUAUUGUUAACAAGUAAGUUUUAGAUAAUGUCUGAUAGCUUCUAUAAAAUUUGCAUUGCUCUACAAUCCCUAGUGAGCUUUUAGAUUUUAUAUUUAUAAUGUCAGAUGAGGUUUACUGAAAGAGAAAAAAUUGAAGCUGCUGACUAAAUAAAUAUAGCUAGAUGCCUAUGCACCUUUCUCUCGAUAGUACUGAUGCAAUGAAAAUUUGUCAGCAAAGAUGGUGUUUGCAGGUAUAGCAGACUUACAAAGAACUAGAAGGGUCUUAAACUGCCAUGAAUGGCUUUACCUUUGGGAAAAGAAAGACUUCUGUUUUUUAUAGGACCUUGUUUUUUCACAUGCCAUUCAGCAUAUGCUUAUGCAAUCAAAACUGGUCUUGUUUAUAUUUCUCAGUAUUUCAGGCCAGCAUUUUAUUUUCUUCCUCAGAGCUUUAGCUGAGCUGCUCUUGCUUGACUGCCUCUGAGCCUGCAUCUGAUUCCUGAGUGAAUGUGCUUUCAUACUGCUCAGAUAAAGGGCUUUCGCUGCAGUCGUGACUUGCAUGGGGUUGAAUAUUAUACCUUUCUUACGUCUAGAACUACAGAGAUGACGACAUGCUGAUUCAUCUAUGAAUAAUCAAAGUGAACUCUCAGACAGUCUCAAAAAUAGACUUUGCUCACUUCUGUUAACCCCCAAAUGCCUGAAUGAUACUGAGAUGUGGGGGAAAAAAAAAAAGUCAUAAUAUGUGCUGUGUAGGGAUGUACACAUGUACCAUAAAUAUAAGACACAAGAAUAGGGAGGGGCAUAGACGUUAGUUAACCAGAGCUUACAUGUCUCUUUGUUAAGGACACAGCCAGUUAGAGCUUUCAGCUGAACAGUUCAUCCUUUGAUUUCCAGUGCUGCUAUUUUGACUCACAACUCACUACUGAAUUAUAUGAAUCCAAUUUUGUAGUAUUAUUUUCUUAUUUAGACUACUUCACAUGCAUUAAAAUUGAAGAAAUUUUUCUUAAACUCCUUUAAUAAACUCUACUCUUUUCUUUGAAUAAAUAUUUUUUUUAACUGAAAUUAGAUGCUUGAGCAUUGUCCAAUGAGGACUGUGGGACAUUGGACACUUGCUAGCUUUUAUAGGGUAGGAGCCUAUGACAUGAUGCAGUAGAUGGGCGACUUGCAAACAGCUACAAAUCGAUUUUUCUCUCUCAGGCUACUGUCCCAACAGAAUAAGAUGAGCUUGAAUUGAAAGAUAUUUAUUUCUAUAAUGUUUUUAUUUCAGCAUCUACAACAGGGAAUAAACUUUCACAAUUUGUCUGGGAGACUGACAUGUGUCUUUUGCCUAAAAAUCUGCCUGGAGACAUUUUUUUUCCUGUAACUCCCAAGCAAUGAGUCUACAGAUUUGUCAGCAUCCAUAGUUUUAUGGAAAAAAGUUAUAUCAGGCAGCAUCUGGAAUUUACUGUUUAUGAAUUGGAAGUUUUUAUCAGUAUUUGAGCCUAAAAAAAGUUAGAUAUUUGGGGUGUCACCUUAAUUUUGUUAUUACUUCUCAGAUGAUUUAUCUCAUAUUCCUCUAAUGGUCGGCCAAAAUGAUCACUGUUACAAUUAGCUUUACAGUUUAGAAAAACAUCUUCCAUCCAAUAAUCGUUUAUAUUAGAUUAAAAAUGAGAAUUAAUGUCUUCUGAAGAACUUUGAAGUAAAGAACCGGUCUCUGUUUAAAAUGCAUGUUUCUGUGAGGCCUUUUGCAGUGCUGAUUUUUUGUUUGUUUUGCAGUUUACAGACAGUGAAAUAAGGUGACCUUCCAUCACACAGACUGUGAUGAAGCUUAGGGGUCGCCUUGGGCACUGAUAUCAACAACACCUCAAAUUAGUAACCUUAUUGUCUCUUUCAAAAUUAGGUCAUCUGAGAGCCAAGUCCUAGUUCAUGCCUUUAGGGAUAUUACAUACAGUAUAUUUCUAUACAAAAAGAUUUAAAUGGAACUCCUCAUCCAAUAUUUGAAGAAUAGACUCAGAUUAACAGAAAUCAAUUUUUCUACAAAUGCCAGGAAAGUGAAUUAUUACUUUUCAUGAAAUAAUAUAGCAUCUGGCUUAUGCUGAGAUUCCAUGCCGAGACCGUGUAUUGUCCCUGUAUACAUGAAAAAAAUACAAAAUGACUUGCUGACCUCGGCUUUGUAUUUAAUAGCCAUGUGACAUAUUCCAUGAAUACUAGCAUGUGUAAAGGAUCAUGUUAUUAUAUACAGCUGUUAAAGACCUCGAAAGCAAACAAUGUGCUACUGACAUAUAAAUAAUACCUUCUGUGCACAGUUAAACAUUGGUGCUAUUUUUGCCAGAUUUUGAGCUCUUUUGAGGCCAACUGGAACAGCUGAAAUAGAACAUUAAAAAAAAAAUGUUUUGAUGCUGGGGCACAGAUGGCGGUAGCCCAAUGUGUCAAAAUAAAUGUUUCAUUUUUGCUGUAAUGUGGGAAAAAUAGACCUUGUCAAUUACUCCAAUAAUCGUAGGUGCAAUAAAUACACUCUGUAGCUAAGAAGAGCUAUUUCAGAUGGGCAUUCAGAGAAAUUCUAUGUAUCCUACUUCCAACAGCCUGGAAAGGUAAAUUACUUUAGGCCAAUGACUUACUGCUUUUGAAAGGGCUCUAACAGCUGCAAUCAAGCCUGGAGCUUUAAUCCUUUAUUUGGCACGUGUAUUUCACAAACACAUGAUUGCUCCUUCUGAGAGACAGUCUGAGAAGGUGCUGCAGACAAUGGGUCUGUUAACUUUAAAUCAAUGACAUCCAUAUGUUUAGGAAAUUUAGAACGGCUUGAACAGACUUCAGUGCUUACAUGUUAGUCCACAUUUUUCUAGAAGGCUGUGAUGGCAAGCAGAAUAAACAGGAGAUCAAUCAAAUGUAGGCAAGUUUUUUUUCACUGCUAACAUCUAUGCAGACAUUACAUAUCACUGGCAUUGAAUGGCCACAUCAAGCUGGAUGUGUGGCUCACUGGUGUGUGGCUCAUUCUAUUGCGCUUGUAAGCAACGUUUACCUUUUGAAAAGGAGCAAUCCACCAAGAGACACCAAUAAAAUGGUAAAGUGCUCUGAGGAGGAAAUUCAAAUAACCCAGAAAUAACAGAGUAUGGGAGAAGAUACCAGCUAGUUAGGAGUCAACAUUUAACAUGGCUUCGGCUGUCAAUAUUCUGCACCACUUGGUCAUAACUACAACACAGGGCUUUGUCUGUAAAAUGGAGCAAAGUUACAAAGAGUGAACGCUAAUCCUUAUACUAUAGCACAACAGUAAAAUGAUUCAUGUUCUCUUACCCAAUCUUUUACUUCCCAUGUGAAAUUUAAAUCUGCUCCAGCUGGUACAAUAAUAAUUCUCACAGUCUGCAUGGCCAGUCGGGGCAGGGGGAGGGAGGAGAAGAAAGCAAAGCAAAGCCAAGCUGAGCAGAUUUACAACUGCAUAUGGAAGGCAUCUCUCAUUUUCCCGAGACUGUGCACUUCCAGGUAGCUCCACAGCUUGCCGUUGCAGAACUGUGGCUUUGUAUUUUGUCAUCUGCAGUGAGACUGCUACACUUCUGCUGAAGAGGUUUUUCCCUGGGCACUGCAGCACAGAAGGCAAUGUAUAGUUUUGGGUUGUAGGGGAUCUGCAAAGACUGAGAAGCCUGUGAAUACUAUUGCAGUAUUCAUUGUCUUAAUCUAAACCACCUAAUUUCUUUCAUGCCCUUUUUAACCUGCUUACAACAUUCCGUGUACCUCAGAACAAUACUUUUCAGUGGGGUUAAUUCUAUUUUCUAGAAAAAAAAAAUAUAUUUGGACCAAAAUAAGUUACUUUGAAAGAACCACUAAAGCUGUUUCUCUGCUUGAGGAUGAAGUGCUCAGUGUGGGUUUUAUAUGGGUAGCCCAGGAGAGAGGAGUAAGAAGAAGGGGAAUAUGGUGCACACAAGAGGUAAAGGCCAAAAUUGUGAACCUGUAGGCUGAAUUUUAGGUUUAAAAAAUAUUUUUCAUGAGCAUAAACCCAGGAUGAUAACUAAAACUCUGACCCAGAAAGACAUAUCGGAGAGUAAGAAGGUCUGUGAAGUUUACUUCCUACAUUCAAAGGUCCAGGGUGAGGAGGGACAGAAAGCAGUCAAGAGUAGAAGACACCCUGAUUCCUCAGGAUUGCGAGAAGGACAUUCUCCAAAGGGGUGAAAAUUAUUGAAGUGCUUCAACUUCAGGUUGUUGUGACAGCUGGCAUGCAACUGCAGCCACAGAAUCAAUUCUGUGUACAUUCUGCUUUAAUUACAGAUGGAUAAAUUAGGGUCAGCAAGAAAUGAAGCAGCAGACAAUGACUGGUAAAUGACCCAAAUAAACUAAGCCAACAAGAAAAUUUCUAAAGAGAGACAUGUUAGAGCCACAGAAUUUGCUAGAGGCAUAGAGAAGUUGUUGAGCGGGUUGUCAGCAUCCCUGAAGUUAUUAUAGACAAUUCUAAAGUUAAGGUUGAGCAAUUCAACCUCUCUUAUGUAUGAGAAACACAGCACUUACUCAAGAAAAUUGCAGCACUUAUUCUGAGUACAGAAUUCAAUUUCCAAGGAUUAAUAAGUAAACACCUUAAUUAAUGUAUGACUUUAAAAUAAUUAAAAUAAGUCCUUUAAGAGAUUUAACAUCUUUUUCAGUCUUUUAUUUGUCCUGAAUGAUCUUCAGAAUAAUAAUUAUGCAAGCGUUUCAUAUUUGCAAUCUUCCACACCAGCCACAGUCAAAAGAGUGGUUAUAAUUAAAUUAAAUUAUUAAUGAUUUCUGCCUCUAAUUGUUAUAACUAGACAGACUUCAGUCUGACUUAUUUAACUCUUAACUAGAGAAACUCAUCAAUAUCUUAUGGUUUAUAGGGGAAUUUCCAUUUGUGAACUACAUGCAUCUGAAAUAUUUUGAAUUUGAACCAUAUCUAGAAAUAUCACAUAAUAGUUUGCUUUGCUUGUAAAUCAAGAUAUUUCCAAGCAAGAGAAAUUUUUAAAAGGAAUUUAAAUUUGCUAGUUCAUAUCAGGGAUGUAAUAAAGGGUCUAAUUUUGUCCAGCCUGUGCAUAAUUGUGUUAAAAAUAUCACUAUUAUGAAUCUCGUGCUUCUCUCAGACUAAUUUUACAAGUGGCAACUUCCCGUACCUCUGGAGAGAUACUCAAUAAUGCAAGUGAAAGAGCAAUUACAGGUACCAAAAAAGCUUCUGAGGUUUUAAACGGUUCAUUCCUUUUCUGCAGGGUUGGAAUACCUGCAACACUUAGAAAAUUGUAGGUUUCAUUUAAAACCAGUAGGAAAUAGUAGCAAAUACAAGCAAUAGUUCAGAUUAGAAGGCAUAUUCUGAAAACAAGGGUGGUGUACUCAAAACAGAGGGAGGUAGUAACAAGCACUAAACUGAUCUCUCUAAUAUUCUCCACGGUUCAUUUAUAUGUGUGUGUGAGUAUGUGUGUGUAUCUCCACACAUACAAAUUAUAUAUAUGUGUACACAUGCAUAUAUAUAUAGUUCAGAGCUAUAUAACUCCUAAGUGCCAGUGAAAGGAAAAAUCAGCUCUCUGGUUUCACCAGUCUUUUCAGGUCAGCUUCAUCCUCUUGCGAGUGCCAACACUGAGGCUCUUUCCAGAAAGGACUCACUUCAGGAAGAGACCAUCUGGAUGCUGUCUGAGCCACACAGAGCAGAGCGUGAGAGGGAGAGUAAAAACCAAGAAAUAGCAAGAAGCUUUGGGUGCAACACAGAAGUGGAAAAUGAAGAACUCAGUCAAGAGCCUUAAAAGAGAAAUAAGAAAUGAUACUUCCUGGUAGAUUUGCACAACACUGGUGGCUCUGAGGAAUGUUAGGGGAGAAUGAUCCCAAGCUGGCUCUGCUGCUUAUGUUCCAGUUAUCAUAAACAAUCAGUUAUCAGGCAAAUAAAAUAAUUACUGUGAGAAAGAGCAGAAAUUGCUCCAAUCACUUUGCUGCAGGUCUAUAAUCAGAACAACUCUUCCUAUAUGGGGAUGUUUCACAAAAAUAAUAUAGAAAAACAAGCAGAGCUAUGUGCUGCAUAGCAGAAGCAUUUUCAGAAAGGAAGAAUAAAGAGGACACUGCGGAUGCCUGGCACUGAAGUUACACAACAUGCCUGAGAAAGGACAUGGGCGAUCAUACCACAGGACCCAGCAGGCUGCAGCAGGCAGGAGAAAUGGAGAGGGUGGAGGAACUGCAGCUUAAUUAUCUCACUAGAUAAAUUCACAUCUAGCAGGAGAGUGAAAAAGACAGCAAAUAGCAUUUCAGAUCACAGCCAUGACACUACCCUGUCAGCACAAGACCUGGGGCUGUCAGGUAAGCUGAGGUCAGCACUGAACCUGUGCUGCCUUCCCAGAAGGACAAGAAAAAGUAAGUGGAGUAACAGCAACGUGACUGAGUGCACAAACCAAAGUCAGACAAUGAAAAAUAGGAGGAUAUGAGAAGAACCACUGUGCAUGAGGCUGAAAAGAGAAAAAAAGGAAGAUCUCCCAACAGAGCCCAGGAAUUAUUUCAUCCUGCUCAUCACAGUUCGAGGUGCACAGAUGUGCAUAGGUACAAAAGCUGUGACUUUGUACAAAAUCAGGUCUGUCUCAACCUAGAAAAUGCCACUCUUUGUGUAGUCAAUUAGGAUCCUAACACAUGGCUGCUAUAGCUUUGUUUCCAACAGACUAAAGGUUAAAUCAUUUUACAUCAAGAUCAAGUAAGCGUACCAAACAUGGAAGAUGCAACUUUGAACCUAGAAGCUGGAACAAAGUUGUGGGAAACUUUAGAGAUCCUCAAUUUUUCUACUAUGGGAAAUUUGAAAUCUGUAAUUAUUUUAACAGUUUUACCAGGGAGAUGGGAAAAUAGAAGUUUAUAAAGAAUGUAUUCUAGUAUGGGCAACACCCUGGGAAGUUUGCAAAGAAGGAAUUCAAUAAGAAACAGCAAAUUCUUAAUGCUGCUCGAAGUAUGGCCAUUAGGUGCUAGGGAGAAGAUAAGGAAGAAUUUGAUUUAAUGCAGAGUGUUAUAGGACAUACUGAUAACAUCUAGUUAAGCAAGCACCACUGUGGUUUUAGUCAGAGAUUAAUGGAGCUCUUCAUUUAAAGGAGUAACCAAGAAUUUGAUUAUGUUGCAGAGUAUAAAGAUUUUCCAUUCAAAUAUACAGUUUACAACCUAGCAUCAUAAAUGUUAAAAUGGCACUUAGAAUGAACAGCGCCAUGAAGGCCAAAGUCAAGGUGUUUGAGUACAGUGCAGUUUCCUAGGUUCUACAUAGGCAGGCUGAGAAACUGUCCUUUCUAUUCACCUCUACACUACCUAUCUGAAAGUAGGAUUUUUGUGAGGCUAAGUCUACUGAACAUCAAAUAGAAUGUAAACUGCAUGAAAAAUUCUACCCUGUAGUUCCUAUAGCACCAAGGUCAAAAAAUUGUGUUUGAAGUGAAAUGUAUUUCUGAAAGACACGCUCUCUUGAGUAAAAAAUUUCAACUUACUAUAUCACUAAGGAAUUGUUGUGAAGUUAAUUACUUUUGCAGAUUAAAGGGCAAGUCCUAUUUUCAGUUUUCAGAUCCUAAUCACUGGAUUUUUCAUACCUUUGCUGCUAGAUUAAAGAACCUUCUGUAUGGUAGUUUCUGCCCAUAUAGGUACCUGUGGACAGUGAUCAAAUCACUUUACUUAUUUUCCUCCUCUUUUACUCCACAACUUGAACAUAUUACAUGCCUUUAGCUUGAAGCAUAUUUCCAGUUUUCAGCUUGUCUUCAAGGCUACUGUCCAAACAUUAUUCAAUCUUUUGGCAUCCUCUCUGAGUGAACAUCACAACAGGAGCAGGCUCACCUGUGCAGCCCUCUUAGUCCUGAUCAAUUCACUCCUUUACCACAGGGCUUGCGGUCACUGCCAUGCUCACACCAUUUCAUCAGGUACUUGUGCUCAUUCAACUAGCCAUCACAACACCCUCCUUCCUCCUCUUUAUGCUCCAUUUCUCUUUCAUUCCCACCUACUCUUCCUCCAGGUCUUUCCCACUGUGGAUGCAUACUGGGACAUGGGACCCCAUGCUAUGACAGAAAGCCUCCGUUUAAUGAGGUUUGCAGUUUGUCAGUUUUCAGAUUAGAAUGUGCCUUUUCUGUUCACUAUGCAUUCAACCCAGCCCCCAUGGAAACCGAUGGAAAGGUUCCUGCCUGUAAUUUCAACUCUACAGCUUAUUGCUCUAGAAUGAAAAAGUUCGACUAAAGACUGCAUAAAUUAAACAUCUCCUUGCACCUAGCAGUGAUUACACAAGGAAGGAAAGCCUGUGCUGAGCUGUUCAAAAUGCCGCUUUCUUGGUCUUUUUCAUUGCUUCACUGAUUUAAAUUCAAACCUCCUUAUAUCCUACAUAAAAAAUAUUAUUUUUUACUUUGUCUAUGUAAAAGAACUUCUGCUAAAGAUUUUUUAUCCUACAGCCCCAGGGCCUUUGAAAUCAUAUCCUAUAUGUUUUGUCUUUAUCAGCAGUUUCCCUGCAUCAAUCUACAAUGAACUACGUAAGCCACUUAUACCAGAGACUGUUCAAAUAAUUUUGAAUUUGAUUGACAUAUUCUGAUCUCCCUGGUUUUGUUAAGCAAGCUGAACCUUAAUAACACACUGAGAAGAUGAACGGGCUAAUGAAGCACAUUGCAUGAUCUGGAAUAAUUCCCUUACAGGUGAAGUUCUGAACCGCUGACAGCAAGAGGAUUAUUAUUUUUUUUAUUAUUAUUAUUAUUUUUUUUUCCAGUUUUCCAUGGUUACUUUUCACUCUUGGUGCAAUGCUCUGUUAUGCAGCUGUCUGGCUCUGUGUUAGCUACGUACUGAAGAAAAGUAAUGUCUCAUUGUAAUACUGAUUAUUAGCUUUCUGUGUAAUUAAAAAAGAAACUUUCCCUCUUUUCACUUCAACAUUACAAAAACAUUUUAAGUGCAUGUCUACAAUGAAUGGAUCCUUAGUCUAAAACAGUCCACCAGUGUAUCAAAGGAUGAAGAAAAUAUUUCCACAUUACAACUGUGUACAUCUUAUUUUAACCCAGGGGAAAAGCAUUGUGGGUAAACUGUAGUUACUUUCAAUGUACUAUAGCCUUUGACUGUAUGUCACGUUGCUUGUGCUGUGCUGUCAGGUGGAAUACAACAUUGUUAUAAUGCUAGAAUUAAGGCUUCUGUACUAACUCAGAAUGGCUGGGGGUUUGUUUUGUUUAUUUUGCAGCACUUAAACCAUUCCCUUUAC